rnacentral:ncRNA from 1 species
GUGUUCGUAGAAAGGAGAGAUGGUUGGCAUCUCUCCCGAUAGAGAUAGUAAUAGCAUUUGGGCUUUACCUGUUAUCAGUUACCGUAGUUGCUCAUAUAGAUGUUGU